rfam:Trichobilharzia regenti genome assembly, scaffold: TRE_scaffold0050522
GUACUGCUGGAGAGUCCCAAAAUAGGACGAAACAGUUGUCCAGUAC